rnacentral:rRNA from 1 species
CGAUGCUCUAGAUUAGUAGUUGAUCAUGGCUCAGAAUCAACGCUGGCGGCGUGCCUAACACAUGCAAGUCGAACGCGAAAGUCCCGCAAGGGAUCAGUAGAGUGGCAAACGGGUGAGUAACGCGUGGGUGACCUGCCUUCGAGCGGGGGAUAACGUUCCGAAAGGGACGCUAAUACCGCAUAACAUCCUGCCUUUUUAAGAGGCGGAGAUCAAAGCCUGGGACCGCAAGGCCAGGCACUCGAAGAGGGGCCCGCGUCCGAUUAGCUAGUUGGUGGGGUAAUGGCUCACCAAGGCUCCGAUCGGUAUCCGGCCUGAGAGNGGCGGACGGACACACUGGGACUGAGACACGGCCCAGACUCCUACNGGAGGCAGCAGUGGGGAAUUGUUCGCAAUGGGCGCAAGCCUGACGACGCAACGCCGCGUGGAGGAUGAAGAUCUUCGGGUCGUAAACUCCUUUCGAUCGAGACGAACGGNCUCUGGGUGAACUAUCCAUGGGGAGUGACGGUACCGAGAGAAGAAGCCCCGGCUANCUCCGUGC